rnacentral:rRNA from 1 species
GACGAACCGUGCGACCGUUAUUCGGAAUCACUGGGCUUAAAGGGCGCGUAGGCGGGUCUUCAAGUCAGGGGUGAAAUCCUCCGGCCUAACCGGAGAAGUGCUUCUGAUACUGGAGAUCUCGAGUGAGGUAGGGGCAUGUGGAACUUCCGGUGGAGCGGUGAAAUGCGUUGAUAUCCACAGGAACUCCGGUGGCGAAGGCGGCACGCUGGACCUCUUCUGACGCUGAGGCGCGAAAGCCAGGGGAGCAAACGGG